AGCACAUUGGUGUCCGGCAGAAGGUAGUGCGGCCACGGGCAGAGGCUGCUCGCCUGGUCCCGGGGCUGCAGCUCCAGGGCCGGGCCCGCGUGCGCCCCGCCGCAGGCCGAGCAAGCCGGCGCGCCGCAGCCGAUGUCAUCCCGCAGGUAGUGCUCGCGCACGAUCUUCACCACGCCGCCCGCGCGGGUCUUCUUCAAGAACGUCUUGGACCUGAGCAUCUCGCCUCGCGGCGUGGGAUCCCGGCCGUCAGCUAAGAAACCGAGGCGCGGCCACGCGCAUUCCCGCUUUUGCCCGCUGGCUGGUGAGGUCACUCUCGCGAGAAAACACGAAGGCGCGUUCGUUCCCCGACGGUCGCGGUGAUUGGGCGAGUGUUGGUUGUUUCCUCCCGCCGGUGGGCGGGGCUUUCCUCUGGACUACAGCUCCCAGCCUGCACCGCUUCCGACUGGCUUCCGGGAAGGAGUGAGCUUGGGUACCUGCGCACCCCAGGUUCUUCCGACUUCUUCUGGGGCACGGCGUGUGGUUGUCUUGGUGACCGAUCCUAACGGUCCGGUAGCCCCGAGAUACCUGUUGAGGGGUGGCAGCCUGAGCUGCUGACUGAAGACGCCAUUGGUUCUUCCAAGAGUCCGGGUGAAGCUGGUGUUAUCCUUAUAUGCGGAGUUACUGACCAUUGAGAGAAGAUUGAUUCAAAUAAUAAAAUGUCUCGCAAAAUUGCCAAGGAACCAAAAAAAGUAAAUAUCUCUAGUUCUCUGGAGUCUGAAGAUAUUAGUUUGGAAACAACCAUUCAUACAGAUGAUGUCUCAUCAUCAGAGGAGCGAGAAGGUAAAGUCAAAAUCACCAGGCAGUUAAUCGAAAGAAAAGAGAUACUUCAUAAUAUUCAGUUACUGAAAAUCGAGCUAUCCCAGAAAAACAUGAUGAUCGACAACUUGAAAAUGGAUUAUCUUACAAAGAUUGAGGAGCUAGAGGAAAAACUUAAUGACGCCCUUCACCAGAAGCAGCUGCUAACUUUGCGAUUAGACAAUCAGUUGACUAUUCAACAGAAAGAUGCCAAAAAAUAUCAAGAACUAAUGAAACAAGAAAUGGAAACCAUUUUAUUGCGACAGAAGCAACUGGAAGAAACAAACCAUCAGCUGAGAGAAAAGGCUGGAGAUGUUCGCCGAAAUCUGCGAGACUUUGAGCUGACAGAAGAGCAGUAUGUGAAGCUAAAAUCUUUUCCUGAAGAUCAACUCUCUAUUCCUGAAUAUGUAUCUAUUCGCUUCUAUGAGCUCGUGAACCCAUUAAGAAAGGAAGUCUGUGAGCUACAGGUGAAGAAGAGUGAACUCUCUGAAGAACUGAGUACAAGUAAAGGCCAACUGAAGCAGCUGACGGAGACAUAUGAAGAAGAUCGAAGAAACAACGCUGAACUUCUAAUUCGAUGUCAACGUUUGACCUUAGAAUUAGCAGACACAAAACAGUUAGUUCAGCAAGGUGAUUACCGUCAAGAGAACUAUGACAAAGUGAAGAGUGAACGCGAUGCUCUGGAACAGGACGUACUCGAGCUUAGAAGAAAACACGAAGUACUUGAAGCCUCUCACAUAGCUCAAGCUAAGGAAAGGAAUGAAUUAUCAAAGGAGGUCAGCAGCCUGCAGCAGACAGUCACCCUGCUGCAGAAGGAUAAAGACUACCUCAAUCGCCAAAACAUGGAACUCAGUGUACGCUGUGCCCAUGAGGAGGAUCGGCUGGAAAGGCUGCAAGUUCAACUGGAAGACACCAAAAAGGCUAGAGAAGAGAUGUAUGAGAAAUAUGUCACGUCCAGAGACCAUUAUAAAACAGAAUAUGAAAAUAAACUACAUGAUGAACUGGAACAAAUCAAAUUGAAAACUAAUCUAGAAAUUGAUCAGCUUCGAAGUGCCUCUAGGGAAAUGUAUGAACGAGAAAACAGAAAUCUCCGUGAAGCAAGGGAUAAUGCACUCGCUGAAAAGAACCGAGCAGUGGCAGCGGAAAAGGACGCUCUGGGAAAGCAUGAGCAGCUCCUAGACAGGUACAGAGAACUCCAGCUCAGUACAGAGAGCAAGGUAUCUGAGUUUCUCCAUCAGAGCAAGUUGAAGUCCUUUGAAAGUGAGCGUGUUCAACUCCUGCAAGAGGAAACUGCAAGAAAUCUCACGCAGUGCCAGUUGGAGUGUGAAAAAUAUCAGAAGAAAUUGGAGUUGAAAAUGAAGAUGAGGCUGAAAGAAUUCUUUAUUCCUAUGGUUAUGGUGCUAAUGUUCCCACAACAGCUAAAAGACGACUAAAGCAAAGUGUCCACUUGGCAAGAAGAGUUCUUCAGUUAGAAAAACAAAAUUCAUUAAUUUUAAAAGAUCUGGACCAUCAAAAGAACCAAGUAAGACAGCUUUCACAAGAGCUUGACAGAGCCAAUUCACUGUUGAAUCAGACUCAGCAGCCCUACAGAUACCUCAUAGAGUCUGUGCGACAGAGAGAUGCCAAGAUUGACUCACUGAUGAAGUCUACAGCUCAACUUGAGAAAGAUGUCAGCAACUUAAAUAAAGAGAAGUCAGCCCUGCUGCAGACGAAGAACCAGAUGGCACUGGAUCUGGAGCAGCUCCUCAGUCACCGCGAGGAAUUUGCAGCUAUGAAGCAGAUCAUCAUUAAUAUGUGUAGUAAACAUUCUGAGAACAACUUAUUUCUUACGAAAAUGGAAUCAAAAAGUGUGACAGAAAAUCAAGCAAAGACUUUGAAUAUGCCAAGAGAACAUGAAGAGAAUAUAUUUAUACCCAAGCCAACGCUCUUUACUAAAAAGGAAGCACAAGAGUGGCCCAAGAGUCAGAAGAUGAAGACCUAGUGUUUGGUGUUGAAGAAAGCUGGAGCCUAACCCAGCCAGGCCCUCGGCUCUCCAUUGGAACAGGCCUGUGUUAUCAUGUACUCCUGAAGUGCAAUGUCUGUUGGGGAGAAAGGCUCACUUCAAUCAUGUACUUGAUAUUUUCAAAUAUAAGUAACUUAAUGUUUAUUUUAACUAAUGUUAAAUUAACAAAUUUUAGUAUAGUCAGCAUAUAAGGUACAAAUAGUCAUACUUUAUAUGUGGUUUUAUGUAUUUUGUUAUAAAAUAAAUUACUCUCAUCUCCUGA